AAGAGGACACCACUGCUCCCACUGUGGAAAGGGUUUUAAACAGUUACGGGACCUGAAACAACAUGAGAGAAUACAUACAGGAGAAAAGCCGUACCACUGCUCCCAGUGUGGAAAAAGUUUUGCCCAGUUAUGUAACCUGAAAACACAUGAGAGAAUACACACAGGGGAGAAGCUUUACCACUGCUCCCAGUGUGAAAAGAGUUUUAAGGAGUUGGGUAACCUGAGAAGACAUGAGAUAAACCACACAGGAGGUAAGGAUGUAGGCCUCUGAACAGUAGGACAUAGGAAAGAUGUAGGCCUCUGAACAGUAGGACAUAGGACAGGAGAAUGCCCAAUACAUGGUGGGACAGAUGAGUCCAAAUUUAAUUCCAACCACCAUGUCUUUGUGAGAUGCAGAGUAGGUGAACGGAUGAUCUCCGCAUGUGGGGUUCCCACCGCGAAGCAUAGAGGAGGAGGUGUGUGGGUGCUUUGCUGUUGAGACUGUCAGUGAUUUUAUUUUGAGUUAAUGGCACACUUAACCAGCAUGGCUACCACAGCAUUCUGCAGCGAUAUCCCGUCUGUUUUGGGCUUAGUGGGACUAUCAUUUGUUUUUCAACAGGACAAUGACCCAACACACCUCCAGGCUGUGUAAGGGCUAUUUGACAAAGAAGGAGAGUGUUGGAGUGCUGCAUCAGAUGACCUGGCCUCCACAAUCACCUGACCUCAAUCCAAUUGAGCUGGUUUGGGAUGAAUUGGACCGCAGAGGUUAGGAAAAGUGGCCAACAGCAUUAUCAGCGUGUGUUGGAACUCCUACAAGACUGUUGGAAAAGCAUUCCAGGUGAAGCUGGUUGAGAGAAUGCCAAGAGUGUGCAAAGCUGUCAUCAAGGCAAAAGGUGGCAAGUUUGAAGAAUCUAAAAUAUAUUUUGAUUUAUUUAACACUUUUUUUGGUUACUGAUUCCAUAUGUGUUAUUUCAUAGUGAAAAUAAAGAAAAACCCUUGAAUGAGUAGGUGUGUCCAAACUUUUGACUGGUGCUGUCCAUAAAAUCCCCUGGCAACCACCUCAAUGGACAUUCCUGCAGUCAGCAUGCCAAUUGCCCGCUGUGUUGUGUGACAGAACUGCACAUUUUUGUGGCCUUUUAUUGUCCCUGGCACAAGGUGCACAUGUGUAAUGAUAAUGCUGUUUAAUCAGAUUCUUGAUAUGCCACACCUGUCAGGUGGAUGGAUUAUCUUGGCAAAGGAUAAAUGUUCACUAUCAGGGAUGUACCACUGCUCCCAUUGUGGAAAGAGUUUUAACAUGUUAGGAAACAUGAAAUAUCAUGAGCGAAAUACACACAGGGGAGAAGCCAUACCAUUGCGUUCAGUGUGGAAGGAUUUUUACGGAGUUAGGGAAGCAGAAAGCUCAUACACACAGGGAGCGUAUACACACAGGGAGAAAGAAGCCUUACAAAUUUCACUUUUCAAUCCAAGGUGCUACCCAGAACGAAGGCACCGUCCACCAGACAGACUGGACUUAUAAACAAACAAACAAAAACGAAUUGUUCAAGUUCAAAUUAAAAGAUGCAAAACAACUACAACAAGUUCUGGGACAUGUUUCAGUUGUGGUUUGGUUAAAGUCUGAUUGAAUAAGAGAAGGAAUGUUCUGUUAAUUACUGAUGUCCCCUUUAAGAACGGAGCACCCUUGGUCAUGCGCAGUGUUGUUCUAUGUUAAUCUGGUACUAACUCGUUUUAGUAAAUGUGAAGCUGCAGUUCCAUUCCUUGUAUGCGGAGUCUUAUGAUAUAAAUAAGUAAUAAGAGCUAAGACAAAGACAAAGACACACAACAGUUAUUAUAGAAAUAUUUGCGCAUAAAGCCGUUUCCACAGCCAUUUCUCGCUUAGACAUUUUUACUGACACAAAAAGACAACUAACAACUUGUCAAACAAACUAACAAAUUGUCUGUUGGCAUUUAUAAAAGUGCAUAUCCUGUUUCCGUCAGCCCGGUCAUUACUUUUGAAAUGGUUGGAUCAAUAUCCACCUACAUGAUAUGGAUGAAGCCUGAUUUGGAAUGUCUGAGUAGUUCUAUCUGAUGUCAUAAUACACCCCUCUGAUAAUCAUAUGAUAUUUGGAAUGUCUGAGUAGUUCAAUCUGAUGUCAUAAUUCACUCCUCUGAUAAUCAUAUGAUAUUUGGAAUGUCUGAGUAGUUCUAUCUGAUGUCAUAAUACACCCCUCUGAUAAUCAUAUGA